AUACGUAGGGGACAAGCGUUAUCCGGAUUUACUGGGCGUAAAGGGCGUGUAGGCGGUCUUGCAAGUCAGAAGUGAAAUUCCUGAGCUCAACUCGGGCGCUGCUUCUGAAACUGCAGGACUUGAGUGCUGGAGGGGAAAGCGGAAUUCCUAGUGGAGCGGUAAAAUGCGCAGAUAUUAGGAAGAACACCGGUGGCGAAGGCGGCUAUCUGGACAGUAACUGACGCUGAGGCUCGAUAGCGUGGGGAGCAAACAGGAAUAGAUACCCUGGUAGUCCACGCCGUAAGCGAUGAAUACUAGGUGUAGGGGGUAUCGACUCCCUCUGUGCCGCAGUUAACACAAUAAGGAAUCCGCCUGGGGAGUACGGCCGCAAGGUUGAAACUCAAAUGAAUUGACGUGG
rnacentral:rRNA from 1 species